UACAGAGGGGGCAAGCGUUAUUCGGAAUUAUUGGGCGUAAAGGGCGCGUAGGCGGCUUUGCAAGUGACGGGUGAAAUCCCUCGGCUUAACCGAGGAACUGCCUGUCAAACUGCAUGGCUUGAGACCGGGAGAGGUGAGUGGAAUUCCCAGUGUAGCGGUGAAAUGCGUAGAUAUCAGGAGGAACACCAAUGGCGAAGGCAGCACUCUGGGACGUGACUGACGCUGAGACGCGAAAGCGUGGGGAGCAAACAGG
rnacentral:rRNA from 1 species